rnacentral:lncRNA from 1 species
CAGGGAGUCAUUGAACAAGAAAAUAGGCAAACUAAAUUCUGCCAUUGAUGAUGUUUCUUCACGUUUGAGAGGUGCCAAGAACGUGCCUGCUUCACAUGUAGGAAGUGACCCUGAAGUAGAAUCUACCUUGUGAGGACACCUCCUGUAGAAUCUACCUCCACAUUGACCCUGAUGCAAUAAUGUUUGAAGUAGUGGAAUUUCAGGAACUGAAGACCAUAUUCAUGUUAUCUUGCCUGAUUUUUUUCUUUUUAUGCUUUGAAACAGUGUUAUAAAACUUAGACAGGUCAUUGACAGAGUUAAAUG